rnacentral:rRNA from 1 species
GUUUGAUCCUGGCUCAGGACGAACGCUGGCGGCGUGCCUAACACAUGCAAGUCGAACGGAACUGUUUUGAAAGAUUUCUUCGGAAUGAAUUUGAUUUAGUUUAGUGGCGGACGGGUGAGUAACGCGUGAGUAACCUGCCUUCAAGAGGGGGAUAACAUUCUGAAAAGGAUGCUAAUACCGCAUGACAUAUCGGAAUCACAUGAUUCUGAUAUCAAAGAUUUUAUCGCUUGAAGAUGGACUCGCGUCCGAUUAGUUAGUUGGUGAGGUAACGGCUCACCAAGACCGCGAUCGGUAGCCGGACUGAGAGGUUGAACGGCCACAUUGGGACUGAGACACGGCCCAGACUCCUACGGGAGGCAGCAGUGGGGGAUAUUGCGCAAUGGGGGCAACCCUGACGCAGCAACGCCGCGUGAAGGAUGAAGGUUUUCGGAUUGUAAACUUCUUUUAUUAAGGACGAAAAAUGACGGUACUUAAUGAAUAAGCUCCGGCUAACUACGUGCCAGCAGCCGCGGUAAUACGUAGGGAGCAAGCGUUGUCCGGAUUUACUGGGUGUAAAGGGUGCGUAGGCGGCUUUGCAAGUCAGAUGUGAAAUCUAUGGGCUCAACCCAUAAACUGCAUUUGAAACUGUAGAGCUUGAGUGAAGUAGAGGCAGGCGGAAUUCCCCGUGUAGCGGUGAAAUGCGUAGAGAUGGGGAGGAACACCAGUGGCGAAGGCGGCCUGCUGGGCUUUAACUGACGCUGAGGCACGAAAGCGUGGGUAGCAAACAGGAUUAGAUACCCUGGUAGUCCACGCUGUAAACG